GCUGCCCCCUUUCUUAUUCCCUCCCCUUUCAGGCACAGGAUGAGCCGGAGAAGAGCCCCACAGACCCCUCCUCCCAAGAGCCUUCAGCCCCUCCCCCACCCCCGGACGGGAGCUGCCCCUCCCCCACCGCCUGCCCCACACAUGAGCACCGUUACCGUGUGUACCGGGAUCUAUGGGGCAAGGGCCUGUACCUGACCCACGGCGGCAAGUUCGGGGGGGACUUCCUGGUGUACCCAGGCCCCCCCUCCCGUUUCCACGCCGCCGCCCUCUGUUUGUGCCCCGCCCCCUCCUCGGGAUUGGCUCCGGGCUCCCUCGUGGCCGCCGCCCGCCUGGGCACCCACGUGCGCAAGACGCUGCUGCUCUGCUCCGCCGGGCCGCCAGGGGGCGCCCCCGCCUACACCUCCCUCCAAUGGCGCGCCGACCUCGCCUGACACCACGUGACACCGAGGGGGCGGGG